rnacentral:pre_miRNA from 11 species
GUCCACCAUUGUCUUCAGUGAGUUACUAUCUUACAACAGUUCUGGAGUUCUAGUGAGAAGCAGUGACCAGUAGAGUUCAAUCAGGUCUGUUGUGAGAUAGUAACUCAUUGAAGACAAUGGUGG